rnacentral:rRNA from 1 species
UACAGAGGUCCCAAGCGUUGUUCGGAUUCCCUGGGCGUAAAGGGUGCGUAGGUGGUGAGGUAAGUCGGAUGUGAAAUCUCCAAGCUCAACUUGGAAACUGCAUUGGAAACUACCUUGCUAGAGGAUUUGAGGGGGGAUUGGAAUACUUGGUGUAGCAGUGAAAUGCGUAGAUAUCAAGUGGAACACCAGUGGCGAAGGCGAAUCCCUGGAAAAUACCUGACACUGAGGCACGAAAGCUAGGGGAGCAAACAGG